CAGCCCGCCGGCGCCCCUUGGCCCCCGAGCCCCCGCAGACUCGGGUGGGGUGGGGGAGCGCCCGGAAAGCCCGCGCAGCCCGCGACCGGACCUCGCUCUCUGCAGACUGCGCCUUUCUGCACCGGGAACGCUCAACAGAGAAGCAGCAGGAGGCUGCGGGGCUGAACACACACACACACACACACACACACACGCCUAUGAAGUUGCAGGUGUCACAAGUUUCUGCCUCUCCAGUGGUAGACAGAGAGAGAUGCAGAGAAGAGGAGAAGACAGAGAGGGGGAGAGAAAGACAGACACCUGCAGACCUGCUUCACCGCCUGUGAAGUGACUCCCCUGCAGGUGGGGA